AUGGUCAUAUCAUGUCAAAACACUGGUUUUCAUAAAAUCACUGAAGUCAACCCAUAUUGAGCCUGGUCAAUACCUAGAUGGGUAACUGCUUGGGAAUACCAGGUGCUGUAAG